GAGGGUAUAGCUCAGUGGUAGAGUGGGUGCUUAGCAUAGACGAGGGUCCUGGGUUCAAUCCCCAGUACCUCUG
rnacentral:tRNA from 1 species